rfam:Triticum aestivum genome assembly, contig: Triticum_aestivum_CS42_TGACv1_scaffold_579358_7BL
UAUAUACUCCAUCCGUCCCAAAAUUCUUGUCUUAGAUUUGUCUAGAUACGCUACAUCCGUAUUUAGACAAAUCUAAGACAAGAAUUUUGGGACGGAGAGAGUAUUCA